CACUAUACACGUGUUUUAACACUUUCACUCAUCGCGCCACGAUUGACGUAGAUUUGUAUUGCACUGCAGCCACUGCAGUAUCAAUUUUACUUAAUGAAAAAACUUUUUAAUAAUUACAUGAAACCUUUGUUGAAAUCUAACUCUUGGUUAGUAUUCAGUCAACAAUGAGGAUUCAUUACCUCGCAAAAAUUCGUUACUCACCUUGAGGAAAACUCACUAAAAUUUCAUGAAAUCAAAACCGACGAUCAAAUUCCAUAAAAUUUUACGCUCGAAAGUUGAAAAUUGAAAAAAAAACAAU
rnacentral:misc_RNA from 1 species